AAAUAUUGUGUAAUUGUGUCUUGCAUUAUAAUUUAUAUUGAUUUAUACAACUUCUUAUCCGUCCAUUACCUGCUUUGUAUAUACAGACAACUUCCAUUGCUUGGCUUUAUUAGCACAUGAAUUUUUUGUGUUUGGAAAACCAAGCAAAUUGUAUAACUGUGUGUUCGUUUGACUCCCAUGUUAACAGAAAAAGUGCAUGACUGUGCUUUUUAUUGGAGUUGACCUGCAUCUUUCCAUGCACCAGAAUCUGAGGAAGAUUUUGGAGAAAUUAUGACCAAUAGAGAUAUAAUUUUCUCUAGUCUAGUGCUCAUUGCCGAGGAAUUGAAGGUUCCAACAGCUUGAAUUCUUUGACUAGGUUUACAUUCUUCUUUCAGCUAAGGCAAUUCACAGUUCACACACAGCGUUUGUGUUCAAGAGAAUCAGAUUUGUUUUGCCUCGGGAAGCCAUUUUUGUUUGCAGGGAUUAGAAAAAUUCAUUGUAUUUCACAGCAAAAAGAAAAUUGCAUGUUCCAAGGAGGUCUCAUGUUGGUCAAAGCAAGCUGUUAUCCUGUAAAGCAUUCAAUUACAACCGUAGGGCUGGUGAAUUUAAGGCUUGGGGUUGAAGGUAUUUUCAGUGUCCAUAAAGGAGGGUGCAGGAGCUGUAUAUUACUUAGCAAGCCUGAAGAUUAGCUGCUUUUUCAUUGAACCAUAUGGUGCAGAAAAUAGAUUUGUUUGUUGAGGUGAUGGCUUCUGCAAAUUGUUCUUCCUCAUCGUUAGGGAAGAGAAAGCAAAGAAAUGAUUUUGUCAGUGAUUUUAGUACAAAACUAGAAGUGGUAACAACAUAUUCAGUAGGGAAUGCAACAGAGAUCCCCAGUGGCUUGGCACCCAUUAUAUUCAAUUCAUCUUGCAGAUCUGAGACAGAAAAGAAGUUUGAAGAAGAAGAAAGGUGUGUGACACCCAAGUCUGAGGAACACAAGAUACACUCCAUGACAAUGUGCCCUCCUGCACCUCGCAAACCCAAAUCAGCUCCUCUAAAGAGAAAUCCUGCAAUUAUAUCAAGUCGUAGAGCAAUUCAUAUUCCUUCAGUUUCUCCUGAUUUGGACUUACUUUUCUGUUCAGAUCUGAGCAAAUAUCACCAGCAUCAGAAGAAGAAGCACAAAAAGAAAGAAAGCAGUUCAAGUAUGAGAAAAGAUAGCCAAAAAUAGAUAGAUCUUCGGAUAGUAUCUGCCCAUGUAACCGCAAUAGAUCAGAACUGGUGGUCUUGGUGACAAAUUUUAUUUUUUUUCUUUUAUGGGGGUAAUGUUCAUUAUCCAGGAGAGUACUGUAACUAAGCUUUGUUGUACUUGCUGUCCUACUGUAUAUCUUAGAUUUGUGUUCUUAGAUUUGUGUUCCUCAAGGGGAGUCUAUAUGGGCCACGGCUAUUCUAGCUCCAAAACAGAUCUUUCGUACAGAAUGUUAGUAACAAGUUAGUCAAUCGCAAAAUCGACAGUGUAAAACGCGCGACGUGUUAGUCAAUCUGUACUGUCUUUUUGGAAGCAGAAUAGACGUGUCCGUCUGCAUGUCUGCUGCUCAAUAAAAUUUAAGAUUCAGUGCCUAUCACAGUGGGAUCAAUCUUUUUUGUCA